GUCAGACUUUGUGCGUAUCUAUGUGCCUGUGUCAGUGUGUAUCAGUGUGUGGUAGACUUUGUGCGUAUAUGUGUGUGUGUAUCUGUGAGUGGCAGAGUUUGUGCAUAUCUGUGUGUGAAAGUUUGUAUCAGUGUGUGGCAGAGUUUGUGCAUAUCUGUUUGCACGUGCAAGUUUGUAUCACUGUGUGGCAGACUUUAUGCGUAUCUGUGUGGCAGACUUUGUGUGUAUCUAUGUGCGUGUGCCAGUUUGUAUCUGUGUGUGUCAGACUUUGUGCGUAUCUGUGUGCCUGUGUCAGUGUGUAUCUGUGUGUGGCAGAC